UGCCAGCCGCCGCGGUAAUACGGAGGGGGUUAGCGUUGUUCGGAAUUACUGGGCGUAAAGCGCACGUAGGCGGAUUAGUAAGUUAGGGGUGAAAUCCCGGGGCUCAACCCCGGAACUGCCUCUAAUACUGCUGGUCUAGAGUCCGGGAGAGGUGCAUGGAAUUCCGAGUGUAGAGGUGAAAUUCGUAGAUAUUCGGAGGAACACCAGUGGCGAAGGCGGCUCACUGGCUCGAUACUGACGCUGAGGUGCGAAAGUGUGGGGAGCAAACAGGAUUAGAUG
rnacentral:rRNA from 1 species